GAUACUGAUAAGAAGAUUAAUAAUAAUCUAUUUAUGGAAUUAAUAGAAUUAAUUUUGUUACAACUGUAAAUAUGUAGCUUUUGUGUUCCAAAAUAUGUAACCUGAUUGCUACAGUGAAUGUUUUGUAGAUUCAGUGAAGCAACUUCUGUUUUUUUCUUUUUAUCAAAAUCAAGUAACCUUAUUUGGACACAUGUGUUUUGAUAAGGAUUAAUUAGAUAUGGAAUUUUUGUAGACCAUUAUAUUGAAUGGUAUUCAAAAAAUAUAAGGGUUCUAUAAUUUAUUUAUUUUUUUAUAAUCUUGAGAUUUAUGUGCAUCUUAAUAUUAGAUCUUGCACAUUUUUUAAUUUUUUCUAUUAAUUUCUAUUCAUUUAUAUACUUGAUAUUGUAUGGUAGAUGAAACAAAUAUAUUUAAAGUGCAAAAAUAUAUUUGAAUCAAAUAGCUUACAAUCAGGUGGUUUGAAUCAUGAUUACUAUUGCAAAAUGAUUUGAUCUGAGUAACUACAUGAAAGUCUAUAUAUAAUCAUCAAUUAUAUAAAACAACUUAGGUAUAAUAUAACGAGACAAGACAAAGAAGCCUUCUCAUUAGUGCCUAAUAACACAAGUUAAUGCUAUAUAUAUAUAUAUAUAUAUAUAUAAUUCUCUCAAAAUACUAUAUCUCUACUAGUUUUGUACCAAUAAAUAUAUUAGCACUAUCUCUACCAAAACUUUAUACAAUCAUUUGAAUGAUGUAGGGUGAGAAAAAUGUUAUUGAUAAAUAAAAGGACUCAUUAAGUUUAUUGUCCUAAUUGACAUCCAAAUUAUAGUUUUUUUUUUUUUUUUUUUUUUUUUUAAUCUACUUGUAACUUUCUCAUGUCCGGUUUAUUUGAAGGGAAAAGAAUUUAAAAAAUAAAACAAAACUGGGUAUUUGUUAGAACGUGUUCAGUUCCAAUGCACUAUUUAACUUUGAGGGUAUUUCAAAAUUUGCAUUUAAACUUAUUUUUAAAUGUUUAAGGUUUUAUUGGUUACAUUUGAAGUUUAAUUUGCAAAGAAAAUCACAAAUCCAUCAUAUGGUGAUAGAUUGAAUAAAUGAAAUUUUUAUCCUUUGAUCAUUGUUUUUAUUUUUCUUGUAAAAAAACCCAAAAUCAAAUGCAUUUGUUUAAGAAAAAGUUAUGAUUCUUACUUAUUUAAUAUGUAUAUGUAUAUUGCUAUAAUUUUCAAAAUAAGAAUAACAACAAUAACAAUGUAAAAAAAAAAAAAAAACAAACAAAACAAAACAAAACUGAGGUUAACCAUUCCAAUCAGAACCAGCGCAUUAUGAAGAAGAACUUCAUGAAUUUACACUUCUCUUUGUUUGUUAAAUAUUUGCAAGAGAUGUAAAAACUUUUCAAAUCUUUGUGUUCAACUUUUUCCGUGUAUAAUUUCAUGAUUUUACGAACUUAUGAAAUUAUGUAAGUAAAUCAUGAAAUUAUAUAAAGAAAAGUUGUGAAGAAUCAUAGUUUAGUUUCUAGAUUACCAAUCUCAGGAGAACAACAAAACCGUGGCCAUUAAUUUCUUUUAUCAAAUCAUCCAGGUCACAAUCUUGCAGCGUGAACUGUCCUUCAUAAACAAUAAACAAUAAAAUAUGUUAAAAACUGAUAUGCUAUAUCAAGGUGCAUGAAUUGCUACUCAACCACAUCAACAUAACUCAAAAAGCUUUCACUUACUUAACUGCACACCUAAAAGAUGUCCAAAAAAUAUUUACAAUUAUACAAAUAUAUACAUACAUGAUUAUAAACCAAAACCUAAGGAGAUUUAAACCAUACCCUCAAUCACCUCUAAUUUUAUCCAAAAGAUGCACAACUUUGCACUAAAAACCUCAAUAAAUGUGUUCCUCGCUUUGUAGAAGCAAAUUCAAUGAAUAUGAAGGAGGUACCAUGUAACACCUUUUGUAAGAAUUGAGUCUUAAAAAUGUAAUUGUAAUGGUAUUGUCAUCCACUCAUGAGUUAAAGCUUCCCCGGACAUAUCUUUCCCUAAUACAAAAUUGUGCAACACAUUGAAAAUCAUAUAAUAAAAUUGACAAGAAUAUAAAUAUAUAUAUAUAUAUAUAUAUGAUUCAUAUAGAAAUUUUAUGACACAAACAAAAAAAAAACUAUAAGUAUUUAGGGAACAAUAAAUACAUCUAUGAAGAAAAGAGUUGUAGUGAGGAAAAGGUUCUUCAAGGUCUUUUCGAAGCUUUAACUAAUGAGAGGAUAUUGUCAACAUGCACAAUUACUUGCAAUAGCAGAAAUGUUGGGAAAAUGUUUAUUCACCAUAAUUUAAAAACUAUAAAAAAUUAAAAAUUAAAAACUUGUAAAGCACUUGUGUGUGUGAAUAUAUAUAUAUAUAUAUAUAUAUAUGCAAAUAUAUAUCAGAAAAGCAUCAACAUGAAUAUUUAAUGAUGCAUUUUUAUAAAAUAAAUGUAAAAAUGAAUAACAAGAUGUUCUUUAGAUAAAUAUUAUUUAAAGAGAUUUACUUUACUUGGAUUGCUGCUGGACUAGUACCAACCAUUAUAGCUUUAUGUACAUACCUAUUAUUAUUAUUAUUAUUAAUACAUUUUUUUUAACUCAUUAACAAUACACUCUCAAACGUGGUGUCACCUUUGUAAUCUAAUUUUAUUCAUUUGUAUACUUUGUACACUUGAAAAUUGCAUGAUUGCUUUGUAUAUAAUAUUUAAGUUUUGUUUGGAAUGUUGAUUCAUCGUGAUUUUUAUGAGUUUUUAUGAUUUUUAUGAGUUUCUGAUGUCAACGAGAAUUCUGAUUCUCAAACCUCGUAUGUCAUUCGUGCAUAUGGGCAUAAAAAUUACAAAAUUUUAGUGUGCAAAACCUUUAAAUAUAAACUAUAAUUGAUUUCUACAUAAUGAUUUUGCUACCAAGUAAUAUAACAAUGUUAUCAUUGUGUUUAAGACCACUCUAAGUAGCCCCUUCCUCCACUUAAGCAAUCAUGCAAUGUAUAAAAUAAUUUUAAUCUAUCAUAAAUUACUGAUAUUCAUUUAAAUCUUAUACAUAUACUCAGUAAUCAAUAGUAACAUGAUAUUAAUAUUUUGCAAAAAUAAUCUUGUAUUGUCAAUACAAAGUAAACAUAUACAUAAAUGUUUUAAACAACCUAAAUAAUAGAACUUCAUUUGGAAUGCACUUAAACAACACUGUCUUAAACAGAAUCAAUGUGAUCUUAAAAACAUGAUUAGUACAUAACAAGGGAGGAUGCUUUAAUAUGAAGCACCCACUUCUACAACAUGGUCCUUCAAAACCCAACUCAAUCUCAAUGCUUUGAGAUGCAUUGUGAAACUCAUAACUAUUUCAAAAUGCUGCAUCACAUCAAAGCUUCAAACUAUGUUGCAAUACCUUUUACAAACAAAACUUGUGUCUUAUCAUCUUCGGAUCACACCAAUUGGUUGCACAACAUGAACCUUGUAUUUGAAUCCUUUUUUUUUCUUCUAUUCAUCUCUUCAAUCAAAUAACCAUGUAAUAAAUCAUGCAAUGAAGUUAGGUAUAUGCAAAUUAUGCAAGUGGGUUUGUUUGCAAUUGUAGGUCAACUUGGAGCAUUUUAAGAAUCUUGACAUGUGUGCUCAAAAUCAACUUUGCAUAAUUUACAAUACAAUUCCAUCCACCAACAUUAUAAAUUAGGUAGAAUAUAUAUAUAUAUAUAUAUAUAUUUCAUUUUAUUUUAGAUAUGAAAGUAUUGAAAAGAUUUCAUACAAAUUUAUGAAUAUAUAACUUAUGAAUAUAUGAUCUUUUAUUCAAAACCUUCCCUUUAUGACUUUUAAUGCAUAUCUAUAAAUGAGGUAAAUUUGAUUAAAUUUAAUCUUUAUAAAUUCAUAUUGACAAAUGUGAAUAUCUUUUUUCUAUUUGCCUAUCACUUCAAGUUCUGUAACCAUUAAUAUAUAUAUAUAUAUAUAUAUAUGUAUGUAUAUCUGAAUAAGAAAUAAACUUAAAAGACCUCUACAAAAUAUUAAUGAUCCCAGUUAUACAUAAUUCUUAAAGAUCUUACAUUAUUGUUCUAAAGUUGCUAUUACAAAGUAAUCAAUUAUGCUCCAUUAUUGUAUCACCAUCCAGGAUCGUGAACAAUAAAUUCUGUUUAUAGCUACAAAUAUUUUGCUAAGCAAGUAUAGAUACUUAAAAACUCUCAAACUAAAAUUGUUUUUUAUUUGUUAAUGCACAUUCUUAAAGUUGAUCUAAACUUAUGUUUUGACUUUUCAUGGAAAGCUUUAUCUCUCUCUCUCUCUCUCUCUCCCUUUCUACAGAUAUAUAUAUAUAUAUAUAUACAUACUAGAAAAAGCUCAUGUAGCAAGCUAAAUGAUUGUGUAACCAUUGCAAUAACCUUAAAUCAUUCAUAUUUGUAUAUAAAAGAAAGAUGUGUUUGUGAUGAAAAUGUAUUACAAAAAAGUUACCAAAAAAGUUACCAAAAAUCUAUUGCAAUCUUUAAAAGUUGUACAGCCAAUCAGCCAAUCAGCCAAUCA
rnacentral:lncRNA from 1 species